rnacentral:rRNA from 1 species
GACGAACGCUGGCGGCGUGCUUAACACAUGCAAGUCGAACGGAAAGGCCCCUUUGGGGGUCCUCGAGUGGCGAACGGGGGAGUAAGACGUGAGUAACCUUCCCUUGACUUUGGGAUAACGUCAGGAAACUGGGGCCAAUACCGGAAAGGAAUACUUGCUUCAUGGGGGGGGUUGGAAAGCUUCGGCGGGUUUUGAUGGACUCGCGGCGUAUCCGCGUGUUGGUGGGGCAGUGGCUUAACGAGGCUUUGACGGGGAGCCGGCCUGCGCGGGCGACCGGCCACUCUGGGCCCGAGCGGCGGCCCCGACUCCUACGGGUGGCAGAAGGGGCGAAUCUUGCACAAUGGGCGGCCGCCUGAUGCAGGAAGGCCGCGGGCGGGAAAACCGCCUUCGGGUUGUAAAACGAAUUCAGCAGGGGCGAAGCCUGUUGUGACGGUACCUGCAGAAGAAGCACCGGCUAACUUCGUG